rnacentral:lncRNA from 1 species
ACAUAGUCUUCAUUUUGAGGGUUUGUUUCCUGUUGUUCUUCUUCAGUUCUGAGGACAACGAUCCCCAUCUGUGGUGCCCCACUGAAUUCAUACUGAUCCACGUGCAGACCCUCCAAUCCUGGAAACAUGGAAAAACAAAGUUGAUAUAAACAGCUGGAGACUGUAACUUGAAAAACCAAGAAAGUAAGAUGAAUAAAACUUCCUGUUUUCCUCUCCUACCCUGGCCUACAGGGGGUUGGCCUAUAAGGCUUCCUUCCAAACCAGAUGUUCCAUUCCCAAAGCUCCCUUCAGAAUCUCUGCCUAUCAGUUAUUCUUUACACAACACCACCAGACCUUAGAUUUAAUUACCAUGAGCAUGCUUCAGCCAAGCGCCUGCUGGGACACAGGCCCUCUUAGGAGAAGGAAGUGAAAUAUGGUCAGCAUAUGACAUGAGCUCAAGGAGGUAAACACUCUACUAUCAUUGUCUAAAUUAA